GAUGAACGCUAGCUACAGGCUUAACACAUGCAAGUCGAGGGGAAACGAUGAGAGAGCUUGCUCUCUUAGUCGUCGACCGGCGCACGGGUGAGUAACGCGUAUCCAACCUGCCUCUGACCAAGGGAUAACCCGUCGAAAGUCGGACUAAUACCUUAUGCAGUCGUCGGAAGUCAUCUGAUGACGACGAAAGAUUUCAUCGGUGAGAGAUGGGGAUGCGUCUGAUUAGCUUGUUGGCGGGGUAACGGCCCACCAAGGCGACGAUCAGUAGGGGUUCUGAGAGGAAGGUCCCCCACAUUGGAACUGAGACACGGUCCAAACGCCUACGGGAGGAAGCAGUGAGGAAUAUUGGUCAAUGGGCGUAAGCCUGAACCAGCCAAGUAGCGUGCAGGAUGACGGCCCUAUGGGUUGUAAACUGCUUUUAGGCGGGGAUAAAGUGAGGGACGUGUCCUUCAUUGCAGGUACCGCAUGAAUAAGGACCGGCUAAUUCCGUG
rnacentral:rRNA from 1 species